CUGCGGAAGGAUCACUA
rnacentral:rRNA from 2 species